AAGGCAAUAUAUAUAGCUACUUAUACAUGUACGGAAGUAGUCUAAACUCCUAAAAAUGGAUGUAAUGAGGCAACUUACGUAUGGGUUGAAUUUAAAAAGUUUAAUACAAGAUAAUGAUUUGCAGAACUUUAAAAAAGAAAAUUUAACCCCAUUAAACAAUAUUUUAAAUAUAAAAAUAAAUAAUAAAAAUAAUAAUAAAAAUAAUAAUAAAAAUAAUGACAAAAAUAAUGACAAAAAUAAUGACAAAAAUAAUGACAAAAAUAACGACAAAAAAAAAUACGAGUCCAUAAAAUAUUCAGAAUUUUAUAAAAAUGACAACUUAAUUAAUAGCUAUAUGAAAGACAAUGAAAUGAAUAUUGAACUUAUUAACAUUAAUAAAAAAAUUGCUCCGUUACGUUCAUUCAAUGACAUAAUUAGUUUCUUGGCUGUGUUAAGUAACAGUAAUAGUAAUGAUAUUAUUGUUCAAGAAGAAACUAAAUUAAAUGUUUUAUGUCUACAAAAAGUAACAAAUAAAGUAAAAAAUAAAAUACAAGAUAAAAUAGAAGAUAAAAAAGAAGAUAAUAAUACUAGUGAUAACGAAGAGGAACAUGUAUUGGGAGAAGUUACUUGUAACGAAACCGGACCCAAAAUAAUAGAAAAAGAGACGAAAGAAAUGAAAAAAGCGAAAAAAGAGAAAAAAGAGAAGAAAGCCAAAGAAGUGAAAGAAAUGAAAGAAACGAAAGAAAUGAAAGAAACGAAAGAAAUGANNNNNNNNNNGAAAGAAAUGAAAGAAACGAAAGAAAUGAAAGAAACGAAAGAAAUGAAAGAAGCGGAAGAAACACAAAAAAACUGUUAUAAACCUCUUUUAAAAACUAUCGAAAAUACACUCGGUUUUCAAUACCCUACAAAUAUACAAAAAAUAUGUAUCCCUACCAUAAUAAACGAAAUGAAUACAAUUUGUAUUGCUCGAACAGGAAGUGGUAAAACCCUUGCAUUUUUAGUUCCUAUUUUUAUAAAAUUAAAAAAUUUGCAUAUUAAUAUAAUGAAUAGUAAUGAUAAUAUAAUAGUGACGAGUGACAGUAUAGUAAAAAACAGAUUUUUUAUUAAAAGUUUAAUUAUUGCUCCAACAAUAGAGUUGGCUUCUCAGAUUUAUGAGCAGGCUAUUAUUUUAUUUGAAUCUUUCAAAGAAUGUGUAAUAAAACUUAUUACUAAAGGAAGAGAAAUAAAAGAAAACGUUGAUUUGUGUAUUUGUACACCGUUUUCAUUAUUAAAAUUGUUAACAGGGGAUAGUUCCGAGAUAGUACAGGUUAGUAAUAAAAAAAAGUUAGUGAGAAAAAAAAAG
rnacentral:lncRNA from 1 species